rnacentral:tRNA from 1 species
AAUGAUGAGCCUGACUUAAAGGACUAUCGUGAUAGGAUAAAACAUGUAGUUAAUACCACUACCUUCAUUA